rnacentral:rRNA from 1 species
AUUGAACGCUGGCGGCAUGCCUUACACAUGCAAGUCGAACGGCAGCACGGGUACUUGCACCUGGUGGCGAGUGGCGAACGGGUGAGUAAUACAUCGGAACGUACCUUAUCGUGGGGGAUAACGCAGCGAAAGCUGUGCUAAUACCGCAUACGCCCUGAGGGGGAAAGCGGGGAAUCGCAAGACCUCGCGCGAUUAGAGCGGCCGAUGCCUGAGUAGCUAGUUGGUGGGGUAAAAGCCCACCAAGGCGACGAUCAGUAGCUGGUCUGAGAGGACGAUCAGCCACACUGGGACUGAGACACGGCCCAGACUCCUACGGGAGGCAGCAGUGGGGAAUUUUGGACAAUGGGGGCAACCCUGAUCCAGCAAUGCCGCGUGAGUGAAGAAGGCCUUCGGGUUGUAAAGCUCUUUUGUCAGGGAAGAAACACCGGCUCUAACACAGUCCGGGAAUGACGGUACCUGAAGAAUAAGCACCGGCUAACUACGUGCCAGCCGCCGCGGUAA